AAGUCGUAACAAUAUUUCCGUAGGUGAACCUGCGGAAGGAUCAUUAACACGUAUCCUAACGUUUAACCACCCCGUGCACCUUGGAUCGAAACUUCACACGAGGUAUGAAGAUGGACCCAAGGAAGAUCGUGGAAUGCGCUACAAACAUGCUGUUUGGAACGGAAGGGUCCUGAAGCUAGGCGCGUUUUCAUGUGUCUUCGGGAAAGUCGGUAACUCUGAGUAGGUAUCUUGAAAGUGCCGUAGACUUCACCUUUUGUUGAGAGUACGAAUUGUUUUUUCGAACGGUUUCGGGUUGGCGUAUCCCCGCGUCUCUGGCCCACCGCGGAACAACCUCAAAAAAAAAACCCUAACCGAUGCGCCGGAUCCUCGCGGGUUCAGGUGUCGGAAACCCCGAACAACUGUUAGCAAUGGGUAUCUUGGCUCUC
rnacentral:misc_RNA from 1 species